rnacentral:rRNA from 1 species
AUUGAACGCUGGCGGCAUGCCUUACACAUGCAAGUCGAGCGGUAGAAGGGCGUCUGCUCCUGACUUCAGGGGAGGACGGGUGUAUAAUGCCUAGAAAUGUGCCAGCGAGUGGGGGAUAACGUCGGGAACUGUGCGAUUACACCACACGCGUCCCGGGGGAGAGCGGGGGGGAUCAACGGCCCUCACGCUAGCAGCUGCGCCUAGGACGGAUUAGAUAGUUGGUGGGGUAAAGGCUUACCAAGGCGACGAUCUGUAGCUGGUCUGAGAGGAUGAUCAGCCACACUGGAACUGAGACACGGUCCAGACUCCUACGGGAGGCAGCAGUGGGGAAUUUUGGACAAUGGGCGAAAGCCUGAUCCAGCCAUGCCGCGUGUAGGAUGAAGGUCUUCGGAUUGUAAACUGCUUUUGGACGGAACGAAAAGCAGUAAUUUAAUACCGGACUGUCUUGACGGUACCGUAAGAAUAAGCACCGGCUAACUACGUG